GAUGAACGCUGGCGGCGUGCUUAACACAUGCAAGUCGAACGAUGAAGCCCAGCUUGCUGGGUGGAUUAGUGGAGAACGGGUGAGUAACACGUGAGUAACCUGCCCUUAACUCUGGGAUAAGCCUGGGAAACUGGGUCUAAUACCGGAUAGGAGCGUCCACCGCAUGGUGGGUGUUGGAAAGAUUUAUCGGUUUUGGAUGGACUCGCGGCCUAUCAGCUUGUUGGUGAGGUAAUGGCUCACCAAGGCGACGACGGGUAGCCGGCCUGAGAGGGUGACCGGCCACACUGGGACUGAGACACGGCCCAGACUCCUACGGGAGGCAGCAGUGGGGAAUAUUGCACAAUGGGCGCAAGCCUGAUGCAGCGACGCCGCGUGAGGGAUGACGGCCUUCGGGUUGUAAACCUCUUUCAGUAGGGAAGAAGCGAAAGUGACGGUACCUGCAGAAGAAGCACCGGCUAACUACGUG
rnacentral:rRNA from 1 species